ensembl:lncRNA
GCCUGCCCCUUCCCGCUCAAGGUGGGCGGGCGGGCUGUGUGGGCACGCGCAGUCGCCACGUCUCGCCCUCCGGGUCGGGUCCGGGUCAAGUCCCGGUCCGGUUCCGCUCCGGGUGCGGAGGGUGGCUCGGCCUUCCCUGAGGAAGCGGCUGACAGGCUUUCCGGAGCUAAUGAGAGACCUCUGACUAGGGCGAGUUUCGGCACGCACCACCUAGCAGCCGCCCCGCUGCCAUGCCUUCGUAACCUGGAAGCCGAAUUUCCGAAAUCGCCUUCACUCAGCAGUGAGGGCUUUGCCUCUAAGAAAAAAAUAAGGUGGACAUGGAGGAAACUGGGGAAGAGGGAAGAUGCUGAAGGUUUCUUUGGACUGUUUAUAGGAAACAAACAUUACUUUGAUGAUCAGAAAAAAAUCCAGCAUUGUCUUCAAACUCUGUGCUGCCGUGUCACACAGGUCGGAAGCCGUCUCUGCGGGUCUCUCAGCUCUGUUGCACACUGGACCUCUGAGGAGCUGCAAGUGGUGUAUGCUGCUUAGAGCAGGGCCUUCCCCUAAUUGAAGCCAGAAGCAAAGCCUUUCGUGGGAAAGCCGCAGGGACUCACCUAGUGUUCCACUUUACCUUACUUGAUGUAUGUUUUAAACAACAUCACAUAAGCUGCCAGCAGCUAGCAGCUCCAAGGUUAACCCAAGGACAAGAGCAUCUCUCCCCACAUUCCUGAGUAUGGCCUGCGGAGACUCUGAAAAUGACGGAACAGAUCUGGCAGACUUUUUCACAUUGCCAGCUUUGCAAACCCACCUGAAAAUCAAUGGAUGUCUUCCUCUUGCUGUUGACAGCACCAGAACAUGUUGUUCUUCAGCUAAUUGGAUAUUACAACACCAAGGCUAAACAGAUAUGCACUAGAUAGCAUAAACCUGGGGGGCCCAACUUUUCCACCGGGAAGCAGAAUGUAUUGGACAGGUGAUUUCACUUUAAUAAGCCUUUCUUUGCUUUCUAAAAAGGCAAUAACCGUGCUUAUGUAUAAAACUUUGUAAAGAUUAAACACAGUAAAUACUUAGUGGCAGGUAUUUUACUUAUUAAUAAUUGAAACUGAUCUGUAUUGACUGACAAAGACAAAAGAAAACGUGAUCCAUGCUUAAUAAAAGAAAACAGCUAGCUACUAGGGGCUCUAUGGCUGCAGUCCCUUCUGACUCGAACAGAAGGUAAGCCUUGAAAAGUGCAUUUCAGCAUGGGAUGUAGGUGAGUUAAAGAUCUGAGUUGUAGGCAGGUCAUUUAACUGUUUUGACAUCAAAUUCAUCACUGAAACUUCAGGGAGAUUUGAACUAUAUAAUUUCUAAAGUCUUUGUUUUUAAAAACUCUUAUUUGUGUCCAGAUCUUGAAUCUUUUUUGAGAAGUAUUAAAUGUAGGGCAAAUACAAUAGAAAACGUUGUAGUCAAGGAAGAAAGAACUCUGGAGUCUCAUGGGCCUGUUGGAAUCACAGGGCCUCUUCACCCCUCGUUCUUCGUUUCCUCAUCUGGAGCCACUGUUGUUAAUGGGAAACUGGCUGUAUUAGUAGGAGACUGAUGACGACAUGAAGAAGCACUUGGCAACUGCAGAUAAUUGUAGAUGGACAAAUAAAAUGCUAACAUUAUUAAGACUAGUAGUAAUUAAUAGAAUUGAUUAAUAAUUGAAAUAUCCCAUAUUAGCAGUGAUAUGUGACCCAGGGAAACUGCCAAAACCAUUAUGAUUAAAAACCUCCAUCCGCGGGAAUGCUAAUUUCAGAUCCUUCUAAUAGAGUAACAUAUUAGAUGCCCUAAAAUGUGCUGUGAUUCACACGUCCUUCCAGAACACAGAUACCUUUAAUAAAAUUUCGAUGCCAUAUUAACUCACUUCGAAGGUGUUACUCAUACCCUGGUAUUGUAAAUUGGUAUUAAUUGUAUCAUUAAAUCAAAUACUUAGAAACUGUAGGUAGUGCGAUAUAUAAAAUUGUACACUGAAAAUUCUAUCUUAAUUGAAUUCUACAGCAGGUUAAAAAUUCUGGGAAGAUUUACCAACCCUAAGAAAACCUGGAAUAGUUCUUCUUGUCCAAAGAUUACCCCUACAAAAUGCAGAUGACUAUGUCGUCAAUGGAAAGAGAUGGCUGUGCCACAAGGGGGCUGCAGCAUGAGGAGAGACAGGGCGAUUUGUGAGCAUGACUUGGGGAUUACCUAAAUCCUAACAGAAGAGUCAUGUUGGCUCUGAGGAAUGGUUUACUAAGCAGUGGAGAAAGACCCAUGAAUACAUUUCUUUCUUUAUGGCUAGAAGAAACUGGCACUGAAAUUUGCAUUGGCGAAUUGCAGAUUGGGGACAGGAAGCAGGCAGCCUCAUUCUUCAAAUUACGCAAUAGUUAAAAACGUUUUUCAAGGGAGUAUAUCCUAGUGAUAGUAGAAUCUAGGACAUUUAAAUUUUUUACCUUUAAUUUUUUUAAAGUACCAACAUUUAAAAAAUGUAAUGUGUAAUUUUAAAAAUGCAAAUAAUGCAAAAAUUCCU